rnacentral:tRNA from 1 species
CCGCAGCUCAGCUUCCCUGCGGGUAUCUGCCGCCGGUUCACACUGUUUCUUUACGGAAGCAGCUCCUUUGUCUCGGGAUCAGGGGGGAUCCAGGGUUUCUCUGAAUCUCCCAGCUUUGCCUAGCCCCUGUCUGAGAAGAGCUGGACCGGGAUGAAACCACAGUGAGACAGAGGGGGGUGGAGGUAGAGAAGGCUCCGGUUUUCUCCGCUGCUUAAUUAGCAUGAGAAUAGAAAGACUUCUCCCUAGCCUCCCUUAGGGAUGGAGAGGAAAGAAGAGCAAAGGCUCUGGCUCUGUCCUACUUCGUCAGAGAUUCUGGGGCUGGGAAAAUGAUCACCACCAUGUUCCUCCAAUCCUCUGAGGACCCAGGGACCCACGGUACUGAGAAAAGCUUUGAUGGAGCCGGCUGGUGGAUCUCCACUCCAGAUUUUCCAGCUGUCCCUGUCCCCCCCCACCGCUCAGAGAGCAGGAUGCUGAGAUGGCUCGGUGAUGCAGAAGGUAUGUGCUUUUUCAGUUCUGGUGCUGAUGCUGUGUGUGUGGUGAGGUCUCUGUGGCGCAAUGGACGAGCGCGCUGGACUUCUAAUCCAGAGGUUCCGGGUUCGAGUCCCGGCAGAGAUGGUCACCUGGCAGGCACUGUAGUUCCUGACUGUAUGUUGAAAGAAGGAGGAUGAGAACAGGUGACAUUUUUGGCUACCAAAACAUCAAUCUGCAUGCAGAGAAGGGACUGAUCUCAUUAUUCCCCCAUGGAGAACAAAGAAGGAAAUCACAGAUGUUGUGAAGAAGAGAGAAUUUCAGGACCCCAACGUGUAUGUGCUUAGCAAGAGACUUUGCUAAACCAUGGGAGAGAGCUGUUCAGUGACCAGCUCACAGGACAGAGGCCAAGGCAGGGGUGGUGGUGAUGGUGGGGUCUCCCUUCAGCUUCUUCCCUGAUCCCUGAGCAUGGCUGAGACGAAGGCCAUGGCCCUGCUUCCACAGAAAACCUACUUCAGGAGUCAUCUUACAACACCUUAUUCAAUGGGAGCUCUGAGAGCCAGAAUCUGAAAUGCCACCAGAUUGAGGGGGCACCAUUUAUGCACGAAAGGCCCAAAUUCUAUGUUCCUUCAUAGAAACAAAUCCUUAACCCACUGAGCAAGGCCAGGAAUCGAACCUUUGUCCUCAUGGAUGCUAGUCAGAUUCGUUAACCGCUGAGCCACAACGGGAACUCCAGUACGCUUUUUUUUUUUUUUUUCAACAAAUUAUGGUACAUGCAGUCAUACCUUCAUGCUCUGCCUUGGUAUACCAGGGCCUAUGGACCUCAAAGUGUCUUUUUAAAAAGAACUGUGAUGAUUUUUCCAAUGAAGCUUUUCUCAACUUUCCAGCAAAUUAUCGAUGAAGACAAGGAUAAAUGUGAAGGUUUGCAAAGAAAAAUUUUACACCACCCGUCAACCUAUGGCCAGAGUGUGAGAAGCUGAUGGUGAUGAAGUGUAAGCCGUAGGCUUAAUGUCUUUUGCUACCCAAAAUCUGUCCUUAAAACCUAAAAUUAAAAUGUUCGAAAGACAUUUUGUCCUUCCCCCAAUUGUUGUCCCUCCAGGUUAGAAAAAUUGGGUUGAUUCCAAGCAGAAAACUGAGAUUAGGAGUUUUGGCUCAGUGAGUUAAAGAACCCAACAUGGUGUCUGUGAGGAUGUGGGUUCAAUCCCUGGCCUUGCUUGGUGGUUUAAGGAUCAGGUGUUGCUGUGGCUGUGGUGCAGGCCUGCAGCUGCAGCUCUGAUUCAACCCCUAGCCCAGGAACUUCCACAUGCUGCAGUGUGGACAUUUGAAAGAAAGAAAAAAAGAAAGUUAAUUUCAGCUGUACAGCAGAGUGAAUCAGCCAUGCAUAUAUACAUAUCUACUCUUUUGCAGAUUCUUUUCCCAUCUAGGUUAUUACAGAAUAUUGAGUAGAGUUCCCUGUGCUAUACAGCAGGUCCUUGUUAGUUAUCUGUUCUAUAUAUAGCAGUGUGUGUAUGUAAAUUCCUAAGUUAUCCUUUCUCCCCACAUUUCCCCCUUGGCAACCAUUCGUUUGAUUGAGAUCUGUGAGUCUGUUUCUGUUCUGUAAAUAAAUUCAUUUGUAUCAUUUUAAAAUUAGAUUCU